AAUCGGGUGUUUGUGCAAUCGACAUAAUGAUCAGUCAAUUUCGUCAAACCACGUAUGCUGACUAUUUUUGUCACCUGAUUUAUUGGAUAAUUAAAUCAGUUGUCGUAAGAUGUGAAUUUAAUCUGUUAUAAGAUCGCUUUAUUAUAUAAAGUAAAAUCGGAUGAUAUUUUUUAUGUUGAUUAGUAAGCAAACAAAAUAGAAUUUCGUAGUGUUUUUCAAAAUGGUUCCGGGAGUAGAAGCAGCAUAAGAUUUUUCGUCGGAUAAUUCUAUAUAUUUCAGACAAAUUUCCUGUUGCACUUCUACAUUUCGCAAAAGAUUUAUUUUGUCUUUCAUCUCAGAUGCUUGGAACAGAAACUGUUUAUAGACAGGGCACUGGAUGGUUACCGGGAUCGGAGCCGAUCCAAAGCCCUCAUUCAACUCCCCGGCUGUACGAGCAACAUCUAAAGCUUAACCGGCUGGUUCGAUAACUUUAAUAGGAGGAUUACGCUGUUCAGAGGUGCCACUGAAGGUAUGGAUCGGCUGCGAUGUAAGUUAAAAUAUAAGUUCAAAUUAAAACUUAACUUUCAACUUUAUACAUGGAUUAAUCAGCCAAUUUAGU